GGAUGUAGCUCAGUGGUAGAGUGCUUGCCUAUUAUGGGCAAGGCCCUGGGUUCAAUCCCCAGUAUUGCA
rnacentral:tRNA from 1 species